rnacentral:rRNA from 1 species
CUACACGGGUAUCUAAUCCUGUUCGCUCCCCACGCUUUCGCUCCUCAGCGUCAGUUGUUGCCCAGAGACCCGCCUUCGCCACCGGUGUUCCUCCUGAUAUCUGCGCAUUUCACCGCUACACCAGGAAUUCCAGUCUCCCCUGCAACACUCUAGUUUGCUCGUAUCGACUGCAGACCCGAGGUUGAGCCUCGGGAUUUCACAGCCGACGCAACAAACCGCCUACGAGCUCUUUACGCCCAAUAAUUCCGGACAACGCUUGCACCCUACGUAUUACCGCGGCUGCUGGCAC